UGGGGAAUAUUGCACAAUGGGCGCAAGCCUGAUGCAGCCAUGCCGCGUGUGUGAAGAAGGCCUUCGGGUUGUAAAGCACUUUCAGCGAGGAGGAAGGUGGUGAGCUUAAUACGCUCAUCAAUUGACGUUACUCGCAGAAGAAGCACCGGCUAACUCCGUGCCAGCAGCCGCGGUAAUACGGAGGGUGCAAGCGUUAAUCGGAAUUACUGGGCGUAAAGCGCACGCAGGCGGUUUGUUAAGUCAGAUGUGAAAUCCCCGGGCUCAACCUGGGAACUGCAUUUGAAACUGGCAAGCUAGAGUCUCGUAGAGGGGGGUAGAAAUUCCAGGUGUAGCGGUGAAAUGCGUAGAGAUCUGGAGGAAUACCGGUGGCGAAGGCGGCCCCCUGGACGAAGACUGACGCUCAGGUGCGAAAAGCGUGGGGAGCAAAACAGGAUUAGAUACCCUGGUAGUCCACGCUGUAAAACGAUGUCGAUUUUGGAGGUUGUGCCCUUGAGGCGUGGCUUCCGGAGCUAACGCGUUAAAAUCGACCGCCUGGGGAGUACGGCCGCAAGGUUAAAAACUCAAAAGGAAUUGACGGGGUC
rnacentral:rRNA from 1 species